GUAGUCGAUGAGGUCAAAAUGUGUCAAUAUGAAGAAUUUACAGCACCGAUAUUUUAAAAGGCAAUAAAUUUACCUUAAUACUAACGCAAUACGAGCUGUGGAUCAAUAGAAGACAAUCGUUCGACCCAAUGGCAUCAAGCAUCCAACUCGAACCUAUUUGCCAAGACCACAUUAUUCCUACACACAAAAUAUAUCGAACAUAUUUCUAUUUAUAAAUGUUGUAAUUAUCAAACCGUAUCGAUAACAAUCACUAGCACAUUGCUCACUGAAGCCUAUCUUGCUAAUAACCUCUUUAAUAUGGGUGUUCGGGAUCUACGGCCACUCCCACAGCGCAGACAAGAUAGUUACGCGCAGCGGGAUCUUGCACUAGACCGGGUGCAGACCCAUUAUAGCGACGCAGAGAUUCGUGACGGACAAAGACAUCUUUCCACCUCGGACGUAUAUAUCAGCUUUUACAGGUAAAUUGUCAAUAUUGCACGCGGCAGUCGGUUCGUUUCGUCCGGUAGGAUCACGUGCCUACUUACUGCGUGUUACGAAUGGUUAAAGAAGAGCCUGCAUGGCCUGACUAUCAUUAUUAUUGCUCAAUCUCAAUCGAUCGCAGCCUUCGAGAACGAGCCGCCCAGCGUUAGUCACCAAGCGGCAGGGUAUCGUCAGAGCAUCAUCGUUAUUUUCGCCAUAACUGUAGAACCUAUUGAUACGACACAAUGUUCUGCCAAGAAGCAGAAACAGCAAAAUUUUCAACAAUUUUGUCCGAAUAAUAGCUGGCUACUUACAAGACACAGCGUAUCUUUUAUCCCGGUUAUCUCGAUUUUCCUCUCCUAUCUGAGUCAUUAUGUUUUCGGGUCCUAGUGGCCGAUUUCGAUUCAUGUUUAGCUUGUCAGCCAAAAAGAAAGAUACCCCACGAAGGUCGUAUAAAUCGAGCCGCGUGCUGUUACAACACACAAUUAGCCCCUGCGACGAUCUGGAACUCCUAUAAAAGACGUAAACGCUUGAUAGAGAGGAGCCUGUGAAACAUAACAGCCCCGAAGUCAUCCGGAAAGGUUUUUUUGAAUGAAACUUCCGAAAGAAGACAUAGAUGAGCCCAAGGCUAAAAAGUGUCUACAUCUACUUUGCCUGAUGGUCUGCAACGACGUUUGCCAGUAGCAGUUCCUGAAGAGCCUGAUGCAAACUCAGGUUGACUGGAGCACAUAAAAUGCAGCGAUGUCCUGCACCACCGGCAGGCCGAUCGUGCAGCCCGAUAGAAGCACGUUACCGUGCCCGCGUGCGGUGUGUAAACUGACGUAAACGCGUCAGGUAACCAUCAUAGGACUACAAUUCAAGAAAUGACUUAUCACUGCAAAAAAUCAGACGAACCUUUGCUGCUAAGUCUUACGUUGUUGAAUGAGCUACAGUUUCGACAGACUCAAAACCCAUUGACGGUCAUGGAACGCAAGAAAAAUAGCGGGAAAAACAUCUGCAGCCCGUUGGUUAUCGUCGUCACUGUCGUACUAGUUGAAGAAGCUAUUGAUUAUGAUCAGCCGAUUUAUCAUUAUACAGCAGUUUUGCUUGAAGUUAGAAGUGUUGACAUAAUCGCAGACGGGUCAACCAGCCAACAAAUUCAGACCAAAAAAGAAAAAAGUAACCUAUCUAAGAUCACAAUGAAGUAAAUACAGAUCUAUAUAUAUACAUAUAUAGGCAAACAUGGCAUACAAAUAUAUUUCAAUCACUAACAUUUUGCCAUCC